GACGAACGCUGGCGGCGUGCUUAACACAUGCAAGUCGAACGGAAAGGCCCUGCUUUUGUGGGGUGCUCGAGUGGCGAACGGGUGAGUAACACGUGAGUAACCUGCCCUUGACUUUGGGAUAACUUCAGGAAACUGGGGCUAAUACCGGAUAGGAGCUCCUGCUGCAUGGUGGGGGUUGGAAAGUUUCGGCGGUUGGGGAUGGACUCGCGGCUUAUCAGCUUGUUGGUGGGGUAGUGGCUUACCAAGGCUUUGACGGGUAGCCGGCCUGAGAGGGUGACCGGCCACAUUGGGACUGAGAUACGGCACAGACUCCUACGGGAGGCAGCAGUGGGAAAUAUUGCACAAUGGGCGGAAGCCUGAUGCAGCAACGCCGCGUGCGGGAUGACGGCCUUCGGGUUGUAAACCGCUUUCGCCUGUGACGAAGCGUGAGUGACGGUAAUGGGUAAAGAAGCACCGGCUAACUACGUG
rnacentral:rRNA from 1 species